UGUCUUGUGGCUUUGUUGGUUAAAGCGCCGAUCUAGUCAUACAAGAUCGUGGGUUUGAAUCCCACCAAAAUGA
rnacentral:tRNA from 1 species